UUUGCAACCAAUGAACCCGGUGUAAUAGUAGCACCCAGCUGAACAGAGAGUUUGAUAACAGAAUUGGAAUAUUUGUUGUUCACCAUUAGCACAGCAGCAUGAGCCCGACCGGGAAAGUUUCUGUGAAAAGUUACAUUUUUAGGAUUGCACCUACUCAGUGAACGGUUGAAUCCCUCACUUUUUUGAGUUGAGCGUUAAUCAUGUACUGAAGAGCAUUCUGUUGAAAAAUCUUAUAUGUGAAUUGGUCUGCAGAUGACACAUUAGCUUUGAGCCUAAAGAUAUCAAGUUUUGAAGAAAAAAGAAGGAAAAAUGGACCAAAACAGACCGUCAAAUGAACUCAAAAAGGUGCAAUAAAAUUGUUUAUCAUCUUAAA